GGGAUUGCCCCAGUAACGGCGAGUGAAGCGGCAACAGCUCAAAUUUGAAAUCUGGCCCCUCGGGGUCCGAGUUGUAAUUUGUAGAGGAUGCUUUUGGUGAGGUGCCGCCCGAGUUCCCUGGAACGGGACGCCACAGAGGGUGAGAGCCCCGUCUGGCUGGCCGCCGAGCCUCUGUAAAGCUCCUUCGACGAGUCGAGUAGUUUGGGAAUGCUGCUCAAAAUGGGAGGUAUAUGUCUUCUAAAGCUAAAUAUUGGCCAGAGACCGAUAGCGCACAAGUAGAGUGAUCGAAAGAUGAAAAGCACCUUGAAAAGAGGGUUAAAUAGUACGUGAAAUUGUUGAAAGGGAAGCGCUUGUGACCAGACUUGGGCGCGGCGGAUCAUCCGGGGUUCUCUCCGGUGCACUUCGCCGCGUCUGGGCCAGCAUCAGUUCGUCGCGGGGGAAAAAGGCUUCGGGAACGUGGCUCCUCCGGGAGUGUUAUAGCCCGUUGCAUAAUACCCUGCGGUGGACUGAGGACCGCGCAUCUGCAAGGAUGCUGGCGUAAUGGUCACCAGCGACCCGUCUUGAAACACGGACCAAGGAGUCGUCUUCGUAUGCGAGUGUUCGGGUGUCAAACCCCUACGCGUAAUGAAAGUGAACGCAGGUGAGAGCUUCGGCGCAUCAUCGACCGAUCCUGAUGUUCUCGGAUGGAUUUGAGUAAGAGCAUACGGGGCCGGACCCGAAAGAAGGUGAACUAUGCCUGUAUAGGGUGAAGCCAGAGGAAACUCUGGUGGAGGCUCGCAGCGGUUCUGACGUGCAAAUCGAUCGUCAAAUAUGGGCAUGGGGGCGAAAGACUAAUCGAACCUUCUAGUAGCUGGUUUCCGCCGAAUUUCCCCUCA
rnacentral:rRNA from 1 species